UACUCCUGGCAAUGGGCAAAAAAGCAUCUUUUUGGUGGUAUUGCUCUUAAAUCAGGGAGGGAGAUAGCAAACGGCAGUCCUCUCUUCAUCCUAGCUUGACGUCUGGCUUGGUGGCCAAAGCUGUUUUAUGCCAAGACACAUAA